rnacentral:rRNA from 1 species
AACGAACGCUGGCGGCAGGCUUAACACAUGCAAGUCGAACGGGUGUAGCAAUACACCAGUGGCAGACGGGUGAGUAACACGUGGGAACCUUCCUAGGGGUACGGAACAACUCAGGGAAACUUGAGCUAAUACCGUAUACGUCCGUAAGGAGAAAGAUUCAUCGCCCCUAGACGGGCCCGCGUCGGAUUAGGUAGUUGGUGGGGUAACGGCCUACCAAGCCUACGAUCCGUAGCUGAUCUGAGAGGANGAUCAGCCACACUGGGACUGAGACACGGCCCAGACUCCUACGGGAGGCAGCAGUAGGGAAUCUUGCGCAAUGGGCGAAAGCCUGACGCAGCGACGCCGCGUGAGGGAAGAAGGCUUUCGGUUGU